CCUAUCCCAAGGAGGAGAAAAAAAUCAGCUUCGCUUCAGAGUUUACUCACCAUAAUGGAACAGGGCGAGGGACAACCAAAUUUGCACCACACGCGACUUACCAGGGCAUAACUGUAAUGGCAUCAUUUUUCGUGCUCAAACUUAUUCCUCCUCAUGCGUGUGAAAGGAGAUCCUGCCGUUUGACGAGGUAGCUCUGCAACACAAUUUUGAGCCGUGUCUAAAAAUUCAAAAAGCAGUCAAUGUGGUUUCAAAUAUGUUGCGAGAAAGGGUUUUUUGAAACAUAGCAAAACCCGGAAGGGACCGGAGAGCAAAAAUAACGUGAUAUACUAGGCUUAAAUGGACAGAAUCUUGUCUCUUAUUUGUCGGAUUUAUCUUCGGAUUUUUCUAGGCUGGUGUUUGUUAGAAAAAAAGGGCCAAAAUUGUUUCCUUCUGAAACUCUCUUGAUUGCGCUCUAGGAGAAAACGAUCCUCUGGGAAGACCUUGGCCAAAAUUCACUGCAGUAUCGUUGAAUUUAUCUGACAACGGCACGUCAUGAGACUAGAGAGGAGGAUUCUGCUCCCAAAAUUGUUCAGCCAAAUCAUUCUGAGCAAGCGAGCCAUGGGCUUGGAAAUUUAUUACUUCAGGCACGAUGAGAAGACUUCUGAACUUCGUGUGAAAUUAUCAAGCGUGCUUGGAAACAUUUGAAAGUUGAAAGUGUAUGAAGAAAGAAAUAUUGCUCGUCGAAUUCCCCCUCACAUUGAAUGUUAUGCCGACAGAAUGAGAUUGUUCCAUACUACAUUUCCAUAUAAAGUCAGAAUCUCGGACCUCAUUCAGAUUUGUGGCCCCAACAUAUUCAAAUAUAUGGCAAUGUCUA